UACAGGGGGGGCAAGCGUUGUUCGGAAUUACUGGGCGUAAAGGGCUCGUAGGCGGCCAACUAAGUCACACGUGAAAUCCCCAGGCUUAACCUGGGAACUGCGUGUGAUACUGGAUGGCUUGAAUUCGGGAGAGGGAUGCAGAAUUCCAGGUGUAGCGGUGAAAUGCGUAGAUAUCUGGAGGAAUACCGGUGGCGAAAGCGGCUCUCUGGAACGGUACUGACGCUGAGACGCGAAAGCGUGGGGAGCGAACAGG
rnacentral:rRNA from 1 species